rnacentral:rRNA from 1 species
GCGGGGAAAAGUGUCAGAUGGGUAGUUUUACUGGGACGGUACCCUCCAAAAUAUCAUCGGAGGGGUCCAAUAGGUACACAUAGCUUAGACGGGGACUAAGUGAUCAUGAAUGAUCUAAAACAGCAUAAUGGCGUAAGUGUGCUAGACUGAAAGACUGACAGGUCGAUCAGAUACGUAAGUAGGGCAUAGUGAACCGAUAGUAUGUUAUGGUACAGCUAUCGUUCAACGGAUAAGUUACGCUAGGGAUAACAGGCUAAUAGC